GGGGGUAUAGCUCAGUGGUAGAGCACCCGCAUACGUAUCGGAAAGGUCGGGGGUUCGACUCCCUCUGCCUCCA
rnacentral:tRNA from 1 species